rnacentral:rRNA from 1 species
GGGAAACCCGGUGCACUUCGGUGCAUCAUCGUUAGCUGAAUACAUAGGCUAACGAGGCGAACCGGGGGAACUGAAACAUCUAAGUACCCCGAGGAAAAGAAAUCAACCGAGAUUCCCCCAGUAGCGGCGAGCGAACGGGGAACAGCCCAGAGCCUGA